AGUCGAACGGUAAGUUAGUUGCUUGCAACUAACACGAGUGGCGCACGGGUGAGUAACGCGUACGCGACCUGCCCUCAAGAGGGGAAUAGCCCUGGGAAACCGGGAUUAAUGUCCCAUGUGGUUGUAUUUCUAAGGGAUAUGAUUAAAGGAGCGAUCCGCUUGAGGAUGGGCGUGCGUGCUAUUAGCUAGUUGGUGAGGUAAUGGCUCACCAAGGCGACGAUAGCUAGGGGGCGUGAGAGCGUGAUCCCCCACACGGGUACGGAGACACGGACCCGACUCCUACGGGAGGCAGCAGUAAGGAAUAUUGGACAAUGGGGGCAACCCUGAUCCAGCCAUCCCGCGUGCAGGAAGACGGCCCUAUGGGUUGUAAACUGCUUUUAUCAGGGAAGAAUAGCAUCAAUGGAUUGGUGCAUGACGGUACCUAAGGAAUAAGCACCGGCUAACUCCGUGCCAGCAGCCGCGGUAAUACGUAUGGGGCAAGCGUUGUCCGGAUUUACUGGGCGUAAAGGGCGCGUAGGCGGUUUGUUAAGUCGAAGGUGAAAUCCUCGGGCUCAACUCGAGAAUUGCCUUCGAUACUGGCAGACUAGAGUGGCGGAGAGGAAAGCGGAACUCUUGGUGUAACGGUGGAAUGUGUAGAUAUCAAGAGGAACACCGGUGGCGAAGGCGGCUUUCUGGACGCACACUGACGCUCAGGCGCGAAAGCGUGGGUAGCAAACAGGAUUAGAUACCCUGGUAGUCCACGCCAUAAACGAUGGGUACUAGGUGUCGGGGGUAUCGACCCCUCCGGUGCCGCAGUUAACGCACUAAGUACCCCGCCUGGGGAUUAUGGUCGCAAGGCUGAAACUCAAAGGAACUGACGGGGCCCCGCACAAGCGGUGGAGCAUGUGGUUUAAUUCGACGCAACGCGAAGAACCUUACCUGGGCUUGACAUGCUUGGGACAGCGCUGGAAACAGCGUCUCUCCUUCGGGAGCCCUUGCACAGGUGCUGCAUGGCUGUCGUCAGCUCGUGUCGUGAGAUGUUGGGUUAAGUCCCGCAACGAGCGCAACCCUCGUUACUAGUUGCCAUCAGUUCGGCUGGGCACUCUAGUGAGACUGCCGGUGAUAAACCGGAGGAAGGUGAGGAUGAUGUCAAGUCAUCAUGGCCCUUACGCCCAGGGCUACACACGUGCUACAAUGGUCGGCACAAAGGGUCGCUAAGCCGCGAGGUGGAGCUAAUCCCAAAAAGCCGGCCUCAGUUCGGAUUGGAGUCUGCAACCCGACUCCAUGAAGGCGGAAUCGCUAGUAAUCGCGGAUCAGCAUGCCGCGGUGAAUAUGUUCCCGGGGCUUGUACACACCGCCCGUCAUAUCACCCGAGUCGGGAUACCCGAAGUCCGUGACCCAACCAUUUGGAG
rnacentral:rRNA from 1 species